rnacentral:sRNA from 1 species
GUUUGCACUCAUCGGGGAAGGGUGAGAACCUUCGACUAAGGUUCGACUCGAGCGAAAGCGAGAGAACGUUGCCACAGGCAACGGCCCGAAGGGUGAGGAGCGAAGGGUGAGGAGCGAAGCGACGAAUAAUCCUUCCCCCACCACCA